GACGAACGCUGGCGGCGUGCUUAACACAUGCAAGUCGAACGGAAAGGCCCUGCUUUUGUGGGGUGCUCGAGUGGCGAACGGGUGAGUAACACGUGAGUAACCUGCCCUUGACUUUGGGAUAACUUCAGGAAACUGGGGCUAAUACCGGAUAGGAGCUCCUGCUGCAUGGUGGGGGUUGGAAAGUUUCGGCGGUUGGGGAUGGACUCGCGGCUUAUCAGCUUGUUGGUGGGGUAGUGGCUUACCAAGGCUUUGACGGGUAGCCGGCGUGAGAGGGUGACCGGACACAUUGGGACUGAGAUACGGCCCAGACUCCUACGGGAGGCAGCAGUGGGGAAUAUUGCACGAUGGGCGGAAGCCUGAUGCAGCAACGCCGCUUGCGGGAUGACGGCCUUCGGGUUGUAAGCCGCUUUCGCCUGUGACGAAGCGUGAGUGACGGUAAUGGGUAAAGAAGCACCGGCUAGCUACGUG
rnacentral:rRNA from 1 species